rnacentral:rRNA from 1 species
CCUACGGGUGGCAGCAGUGAGGAAUAUUGGUCAAUGGCCGUAAGGCUGAACCAGCCAAGUCGCGUGAAGGACGAAGGUUCUAUGGUUUGUAAACUUCUUUUAUAGGGGAAUAAAGUUAUCCACGUGUGGCUAUUUGCAUGUACCUUAUGAAUAAGCAUCGGCUAACUCCGUGCCAGCAGCCGCGGUAAUACGGAGGAUGCGAGCGUUAUCCGGAUUUAUUGGGUUUAAAGGGUGCGUAGGUUGUGUUUUAAGUCAGCGGUGAAAGUUUGUGGCUCAACCAUAAAAUUGCCGUUGAAACUGGCAGUCUUGAGUGUAGUAGAGGUAGGCGGAAUGCGUGGUGUAGCGGUGAAAUGCUUAGAUAUCGCGCAGAACUCCGAUUGCGAAGGCAGCUUACUGGGCCAUAACUGACACUGAGGCACGAAAGCGUGGGUAUCAAACAGGAUUAGAUACCCGGGUAGUC